rnacentral:rRNA from 1 species
CCUACGGGUGGCAGCAGUGGGGAAUAUUGCACAAUGGGGGAAACCCUGAUGCAGCGACGCCGCGUGAGGGAGGAAGGAUUUCGGUAUGUAAAGCCCUAUUAGUAGGGAAGAAAAUGACGGUACCUGACUAAGAAGCACCGGCUAACUACGUGCCAGGAGCCGCGGUAAUACGUAGGGGGCAAGCGUUAUCCGGAUUUACUGGGUGUAAAGGGAGCGUAGGCGGUUAAGCAAGUCAGAAGUGAAAACCCAGGGCUUAACCUUGGAACUGCCUUUGAAACUGUGAAGCUAGAGUGGAGGAGAGGUAAGCGGAAUGCGUGGUGUAGCGGUGAAAUGCGUAGAGAUCAAGAGGAACACCGAUGGCGAAGGCGGCUUGCUGGACUAUAACUGACGUUGAGGCUCGAAAGCGUGGGGAGCAAACAGGAUUAGAUACCCGAGUAGUC